rnacentral:rRNA from 1 species
UACGUAGGGUGCAGGCGUUAAUCGGAAUUACUGGGCGUAAAGCGUGCGCAGGCGGUCUAUUAAGACAGGUGUGAAAUCCCCGGGCUUAACCUGGGAACUGCGCUUGUAACUGAUAGGCUUGAGUGUGGCAGAGGGGGGUGGAAUUCCAGGUGUAGCAGUGAAAUGCGUAGAUAUCUGGAGGAACACCGAUGGCGAAGGCAGCCCCCUGGGCUAACACUGACGCUCAUGCACGAAAGCGUGGGGAGCAAACAG